UAUGGGAAUGUUUCACCCCAAAAUUGUUAUGGGAAUGUUUCGACCCAAAAGUGUUAUGGAAAUGUUUCAUCCCAAAAUUGUUAUGGGAAUGUUUCACCCCAAAAAUGUUAUGGAAAUGUUUCACCCCAAAAUUGUUAUGGGAAUGUUUCACCCCAAAAGUGUUAUGGGAAUGUUUCAUCCCAAAAUUGUUAUGGAAAUGUUUCGACCCAAAAUUGUUAUGGGAAUGUUUUACCCCAAAAUUGUUAUGGGAAUGUUUCACCCCAAAAUUGUUAUGGAAAUGUUUCACCCCAAAAUUGUUAUGGGAAAGUUUCAGCCCAAAAUUGUUAUGGGAAUGUUUCACCCAAAAAUUGUUAUGGGAAUGUUUCAGCCCAAAAGUGUUAUGGGAAUGUUUCACCCCAAAAAUUGUUAUGGAAAUGUUUCACCCCAAAAAUUGUUAUGGAAAUAUUUCGACCCCAAAAUUGUUAUGGGAAUGUUUCACCCCAAAAUUGUUAUGGGAAUGUUUCACCCCAAAAGUGUUAUGGGAAUGUUUCACCCCAAAAUUGUUAUGGGAAUGUUUCACCCCAAAAUUGUUAUGGAGAAGCAGCAGAAAGACAAUAAACCUUGUUGGAUUUGGGAAUAUCAGGGAAGGGAUUUGGAGGGAAAUGAUUUGGAGCUGGAUCCAGUGAGGGCUGGGGGAAGGUGCUGGGAGUCUUGUAAGGCUUUACAAGAAUUACACUGGAAUUACAUUGGAAAGAUUUACAAGGAAUUCCACUGGAAUUACAUUGGAAAGACACUGGGGAUCUGUCCAUCUGUGUGCCUCAAUCCAGGUUGGAUUUGCCUCUCCCAAUUCCAAAUUCCGGCCCAAAAAUUGUUGUGGGAAUGUUUCGACCCCAAAAAUUGUUAUGGGAAUGUUUCAUCCCAAAAUUGUUAUGGGAAUGUUUCACCCUAAAAGUGUUAUGGAAAUGUUUCGACCCCAAAAAUUGUUAUGGGAAUGUUUCACCCCAAAAUUGUUAUGGGAAUGUUUCACCCCAAAAGUGUUAGGGGAAUGUUUCGAGCCCAAAAGUGUUAUGGGAAUGUUUCGACCCAAAAUUGUUAUGGAAAUGUUUCACCCCAAAAUUGUUAUGGGAAUGUUUUACCCCAAAAAUUGUUAUGGAAAUGUUUCGACCCCAAAAUUGUUAUGGGAAUGUUUUACCCCAAAAAUUGUUAUGGGAAUGCUUCGACCCAAAAAUUGUUAUGGGAAUAUUUUACUCCAAAAUUGUUAUGGGAAUGUUUCACCCAAAAAUUGUUAUGGAGAUGUUUUGACCCAAAAAUUGUUAUGGGAAUGUUUCGACCCAAAAUUGUUAUGGGAAUGUUUCACCCCAAAAAUUGUUAUGGAAAUGUUCCACCCCAAAAGUGUUAUGGAAAUGUUUCGACCCAAAAUUGUUAUGGGAAUUUUUCACCCCAAAAUUGUUAUGGAGAAGCAGCAGAAACCUUAUUGGAUUUGGGAAUAUCAGGGAAGGGAUUUGGAGGGAAAUGAUUUGGAGCUGGACCCAGUGAGGGAUGGGAGAAGGUGCUGGGAGUCUUGUAAGGCUUUACAAG
rnacentral:lncRNA from 1 species